CCCGAGGCGGCGGGGGCGACGGGCG
rnacentral:rRNA from 1 species